rnacentral:rRNA from 1 species
AUUGAACGCUGGCGGCAGGCCUAACACAUGCAAGUCGAACGAGUGGCGGACGGGUGAGUAAUGCCUGGGACACUGCCAGCCGGAGGGGGAUCACUACUGGAAACGGUAGCUAAUACCGCAUACCCUCGGUUGUGCGCAGAUGGGAUUAGCUAGUAGGUGGGGUAAAGGCCCACCUAGGCGACGAUCCCUAGCUGGGCUGAGAGGAUGACCAGCCACACUGGAAUGGAGACACGGUCCAGACCCCUACGGGAGGCAGCAGAGGGGAAUAGUGCACAAUGGACGCAAGCCUGAUGCGGCCAUGCCGCGUGUAUGAAGAAGGCCCUCGGGUUGUAAAGUACUUUCAGCGGUGUGGCGUUACCCGCAGAAGAAGCACCGGCUAACUCCGUGCCAGCAGCCGCGGUAAUAC